rnacentral:rRNA from 1 species
UACGUAGGGUGCAAGCGUUGUUCGGAUUUAUUGGGCGUAAAGAGCUCGUAGGCGGUCUGUCGCGUCGGAUGUGAAAACCCAGGGCUCAACCCUGGGCCUGCAUUCGAUACGGGCAGACUAGAGUUCGGUAGGGGAGACUGGAAUUCCUGGUGUAGCGGUGAAAUGCGCAGAUAUCAGGAGGAACACCGGUGGCGAAGGCGGGUCUCUGGGCCGAAACUGACGCUGAGGAGCGAAAGCGUGGGGAGCAAACAGG